UACAGAGGUGGCAAGCGUUGUUCGGGAUUACUGGGCGUAAAGGGCGCGUAGGCGGCCUUCUAAGUCAGACGUGAAAUCCCCCGGCUUAACCUGGGAACUGCGUCUGAUACUGGAGGGCUUGAGUGCGGGAGAGGGAUGUGGAAUUCCAGGUGUAGCGGUGAAAUGCGUAGAUAUCUGGAGGAACACCGGUGGCGAAGGCGGCAUCCUGGACCGACACUGACGCUGAGGCGCGAAAGCUAGGGUAGCAAACGGG
rnacentral:rRNA from 1 species